AUUGAACGCUGGCGGCAGGCCUAACACAUGCAAGUCGAAUGGUAACAGGAAACAGCUUGCUGUUUCGCUGACGAGUGGCGGACGGGUGAGUAAUGUCUGGGAAACUGCCUGAUGGAGGGGGAUAACUACUGGAAACGGUAGCUAAUACCGCAUAACGUCGCAAGACCAAAGAGGGGGACCUUCGGGCCUCUUGCCAUCAGAUGUGCCCAGAUGGGAUUAGCUAGUAGGUGGGGUAACGGCUCACCUAGGCGACGAGCCCUAGCUGGUCUGAGAGGAUGACCAGCCACACUGGAACUGAGACACGGUCCAGACUCCUACGGGAGGCAGCAGUGGGGAAUAUUGCACAAUGGGCGCAAGCCUGAUGCAGCCAUGCCGCGUGUAUGAAGAAGGCCUUCGGGUUGUAAAGUACUUUCAGCGGGGAGGAAGGGAGUAAAGUUAAUACCUUUGCUCAUUGACGUUACCCGCAGAAGAAGCACCGGCUAACUCCGUG
rnacentral:rRNA from 1 species